UACGGGGGGGGCAAGCGUUGUCCGGAAUUACUGGGCGUAAAGGGCUCGUAGGUGGCCAACUAAGUCAGACGUGAAAUCCCUCAGCUUAACUGGGGAACUGCGUCUGAUACUGGAUGGCUUGAGAUUGGGAGAGGGAUGCGGAAUUCCAGGUGUAGCGGUGAAAUGCGUAGAUAUCUGGAGGAACACCGGUGGCGAAGGCGGCAUCCUGGACCAACACUGACACUGAGGAGCGAAAGCCAGGGGAGCAAACGGG
rnacentral:rRNA from 1 species